AUUGCUUUUAAAUAUUCUAAAUUGUUACUUUAAUCUUCCAAAUGCAAAGUUUGGUUAUAUUUAGACUUAUUUAUUCAUAUUUGGCACUUUUUUCUACUUCAGUUUUGGCUGUCUAGUUUUGGCGAAGAAUCCAUCCUGAUGUUGGGGUAACAUGAAUUUCUGCAGAGUGAUUGUCAAUGACAUUUUGUGAACUUUACAAGUAAUUAAAACACAGAUUUAGUAUAAUGAAACAUAAUUGUUGUUUUAUUUGGUAUCAAACUGCUUAAAAAAAGCCUUUAAAAAGUCCUUUUGUGCUCUUUUCAGGGUAUUUAAUCAAAAACUUCCAUAUAAGGAAAAAUUUAACUAAGAGUACACCAAGUCUUUAGUUUCUAGGUGUAC
rnacentral:lncRNA from 1 species